UUCCGCCCUGCAAGCCCGGUAGC
rnacentral:miRNA from 1 species